rnacentral:rRNA from 1 species
UACAGAGGGGGCAAGCGUUGUUCGGAAUUACUGGGCGUAAAGGGCGCGUAGGCGGCCUUCUAAGUCGAACGUGAAAUCCCCGGGCUCAACCCGGGAACUGCGUCCGAUACUGGAAGGCUUGAAUCCGGGAGAGGGAUGCGGAAUUCCAGGUGUAGCGGUGAAAUGCGCAGAUAUCAGGAAGAACACCCGUGGCGAAGGCGGUUCUCUGGGACGGUACUGACGCUGAGACGCGAAAGCGUGGGGAGCGAACAGG